rnacentral:rRNA from 1 species
UACGUAGGGUGCGAGCGUUAAUCGGAAUUACUGGGCGUAAAGGGUGCGCAGGCGGCCGCGCAAGUCGAGUGUGAAAUCCCCGAGCUUAACUUGGGAAUUGCGCUCGAAACUACGUGGCUGGAGUGUGGCAGAGGAAGGUGGAAUUCCAGGUGUAGCGGUGAAAUGCGUAGAGAUCUGGAGGAACACCGAUGGCGAAGGCAGCCUUCUGGGCCAACACUGACGCUCAUGCACGAAAGCGUGGGGAGCAAACAGG